GGAAUGUGUAGAUAUCGGGAAGAACACCAAUGGCGAAGGCAGGUCUCUGGGCCGUUACUGACGCUGAGGAGCGAAAGCGUGGGGAGCGAACAGGAUUAGAUACCCUGGUAGUCCACGCCGUAAACGGUGGAUGCUGGAUGUGGGGCCCGUUCCACGGGUUCCGUGUCGGAGCUAACGCGUUAAGCAUCCCGCCUGGGGAGUACGGCCGCAAGGCUAAAACUCAAAGAAAUUGACGGGGGCCCGCACAAGCGGCGGAGCAUGCGGAUUAAUUCGAUGCAACGCGAAGAACCUUACCUGGGCUUGACAUGUUCCCGACCGCUCCAGAGAUGGGGCUUCCCUUCGGGGCGGGUUCACAGGUGGUGCAUGGUCGUCGUCAGCUCGUGUCGUGAGAUGUUGGGUUAAGUCCCGCAACGAGCGCAACCCUCGCCCUGUGUUGCCAGCGCGUCAUGGCGGGAACUCACGGGGGACCGCCGGGGUCAACUCGGAGGAAGGUGGGGAUGACGUCAGAUCAUCAUGCCCCUUACGUCCAGGGCUUCACGCAUGCUACAAUGGCCGGUACAACGGGAUGCGACAUGGCGACAUGGAGCGGAUCCCUGAAAACCGGUCUCAGUUCGGAUUGGAGUCUGCAACCCGACUCCAUGAAGGCGGAGUCGCUAGUAAUCGCGGAUCAGCAACGCCGCGGUGAAUGCGUUCCCGGGCCUUGUACACACCGCCCGUCAAGUCAUGAAAGUGGGUAGCACCCGAAGCCGGUGGCCUAACCCCUUGUGGGAUGGAGCCGUCUAAGGUGAGACUCGUGAUUGGGACUAAGUCGUAACAAGGUAGCCGUACCGGAAGGUGCGGCUG
rnacentral:rRNA from 1 species